rnacentral:rRNA from 1 species
UACGGAGGGUGCGAGCGUUGUCCGGAAUCACUGGGCGUAAAGGGCGCGUAGGUGGCGCGAGGAGUCAACGGUGAAAGCUCGGCGCUCAACGCCGAGUCGGCCGUCGAUACUCUCGUGCUUGAGCACUGUAGAGGCAGAUGGAAUUCCGGGUGUAGCGGUGGAAUGCGUAGAGAUCCGGAAGAACACCGGUGGCGAAGGCGGUCUGCUGGGCAGUUGCUGACACUGAGGCGCGACAGCGUGGGGAGCAAGCAGG